rnacentral:tRNA from 1 species
ACCUGGCUGGCUCAGUCUGUAGAGCAUGUAACUCUUGAUCUCAGGGUUGUGAGUUUGAGCCCCAUGUUGGGUG